UACGUAGGCAGCAAGCGUUGUUCGGAAUUACUGGGCGUAAAGAGUGUGUAGGCGGUGUUCCAAGUCUGUUGUGAAAUCUCCCGGCUUAACCGGGAGGGUGCGGCGGAAACUGGGAUGCUAGAGGAUGGGAGAGGUAAGCGGAAUUCCUGGUGUAGCGGUGAAAUGCGUAGAUAUCAGGAGGAACACCUGUGGUGUAGACAGCUUACUGGACCAUUUCUGACGCUGAGACACGAAAGCGUGGGUAGCAAACAGG
rnacentral:rRNA from 1 species